GGUCGUUUGCAAGGGCGUGUGGUGGAUGCCUUGGCGGACAGGACCGAUGAAGGACGCGAGGGGCCGCGAUAGGCCACGGGGAGCCGCCGACUGGGCUUUGAUCCGUGGGUUUCCGAAUGGGGCAACCCGGCCACCGUCAUGGGUGGUCACCGGCCUAAAGGGCCGGGGGGUACGCAGGGAAGUGAAACAUCUCAGUACCUGCAGGAAAGGAUACUCCGUGAGUAGUGGCGAGCGAAAGCGGAUCAGGCCAAACCGUUGGCGCGUGAUACCCGUCGGGGGUUGCGUCAGCGGUGUUGUGGGAGGCCGCUUGCCGGGGCCGACGUCCCGGCCGGCAGUUGGAUAAAACCGUGUGCGAGGCGAACCGGGUUGAGUACCGGGCCGCAGAGGGUGAGGGCCCCGUAGCCGUAUGCGCAUGGUCUGCCGGUUGGUUUUCCCAAGUAGCGCGGGUCUCGUGGAACCCCGUGUGAAUCAGCCCGGACCGUCGGGUAAGCCUAAGUAUUCCUGUCCGACCGAUAGCGUACUAGUACCGUGAGGGAAAGGUGAAAAGCACCCCGGGAGGGGAGUGAAACAGUUCCUGAAACCGCGCGCCUACAAUCCGUCGGAGCCUCUUCGUGGGGUGACGGCGUGCCUAUCGAAAAAUGAGUCUGCGAGUCAGUGAUGCGUGGCGAGCGUAAGCCGUGUGGCGUACGCGUAGCGAAGGCGAGUCCGAAUAGGGCGUCUCAGUCGCGUGUCCUGGACCCGAAGCGGGAUGAUCUAGCCCUGGGCAGGCUGAAGCGCGGGUAAGACCGCGUGGAGGGCCGUACCCACCUGGGUUGAAAACCGGGGGGAUGACCUGGGGCUAGGGGUGAAAGGCCAAUCAAAUUCCGUGAUAGCUGGUUCUCUCCGAAAUGCAUUUGGGUGCAGCGUCGUGUGAUUACCUGCGGGGGGUAGAGCUACCGGAUGCCCGCGGGCCCGUACCGGGUACCAAUGGCAACCGAACUCCGAAUACCCGUCAGGCGUAUCACGGCAGUGACUCAGCGGGGGAUAAGCUUCGUUGUGGAAAGGGAAACAGCCCAGAUCGUCGUCUAAGGUCCCCAAGCGCGUGCUAAGUGGGAAAGGAUGUGGAGUCGCAUAGACAGCCAGGAGGUUGGCUCAGAAGCAGCCACCCUUGAAAGAGUGCGUAACAGCUCACUGGUCUAGUGGUUCCGCGCCGACAAUGUAGCGGGGCUCAAGCACGCCACCGAAGACGCGGCAGCGUCAAAUUUGUUUUGAUGUUGGGUAGGAGAGCGUCCCGUGCGGGGCGAAGCGGCCGCGUGAGCGAGCCGUGGAUUGCACGGGAGUGAGAAUGCAGACAUGAGUAGCGAAAGGCGGGUGCGAAUCCCGCCCGCUGGAUGACCAAGGGUUCCGGGGCCACGUUCGUCGUCCCCGGGUGAGUCGGGUCCUAAGGCGAGGCCGACAGGCGUAGUCGAAUGGAUGAACGGGUCGAUAUUCCCGUACCGGCCUGAAGCCGACAAAACCGAAUCCGGGGCGCUAACCUCCGGCGCAUGCUUCCGGUUCCCUUCGGGGUUCCGUGGGCUUGCGUUGUUGGGAUCCCCCUGGGUAGUAGGUCAGCGCAGGAGUGACGCAGGAGGGUAGCCGGCCGCGGAGGUGGUUUUCCGUGGUCAAGCGUGCGGCCCGUCCCCCAGGCAAAUCCGGGGGACAUUCAGGGCGAGGCGCGAUGAUGGGGGCCGUUGGGCCCGAAUCCGGUGAUCCCAUGCUGCCGAGAAAAGCUUCGGCGUCAGGCUUCAUGCCGCCCGUACCCCAAACCGACACUGGUGGUCAGGUAGAGAAUACCAAAGCGAUCGAGCGAAUCCUGGUCAAGGAACUCGGCAAAUCACUCCCGUUCCUUCGGUUUAAGGGAGACCCCCUCGCGUGAAAGGACUUGCUCCUGGAGCGUUGGGGGGUGGCACAGACCAGGGGGUAGCGACUGUUUACCAAAAACACAGGAGCGUGCGAAGGCGCAAGCCGCUGUAUACGCUCUGACGCCUGCCCGGUGCCGGAAGGUUAAGAGGAUCCGUCACACUUCGGUGGAAGCGGUGAAUUCAAGCCCCGGUAAACGGCGGUGGUAACUAUAACCAUCCUAAGGUAGCGAAAUUCCUUGUCGGGUAAGUUCCGACCUGCACGAAUGGCGUAACGACUUCCCCACUGUCUCGACCAGGAGCUCGGCGAAAUUGCAGUACGAGUAAAGAUGCUCGUUAAGCGCAGAAGGACGAAAAGACCCCGGGACCUUUACUAUACCUUGGUAUUGGCAUUCGGUGCGGGUUGUGUAGCAUAGGCGGGAGACUUCGAAGCGCCGGCGCCAGCCGGUGUGGAGUCGCAAGGUGAAAUACCGCUCUGUUCGCAUUGGAUGUCUCACCUCGGCCAGUCAUCCUGGCCAGGGACAGUGCCUGGCGGGUAGUUUAACUGGGGCGGUUGCCUCCCAAAGAGUAACGGAGGCGCCCAAAGGUUCCCUCAGCCCGGUUGGCAAUCGGGUGUCGAGUGCAAGUGCACAAGGGAGCUUGACUGCGAGAGCGACGGCUCGAGCAGGGACGAAAGUCGGGACUAGUGAUCCGGUGCCGGCGCACGGGCGCGGCAUCGCUCAACGGAUAAAAGGUACCCCGGGGAUAACAGGCUGAUCAUUCCCAAGAGUCCAUAUCGACGGGAUGGUUUGGCACCUCGAUGUCGGCUCGUCGCAUCCUGGGGCUGGAGCAGGUCCCAAGGGUUCGGCUGUUCGCCGAUUAAAGCGGCACGCGAGCUGGGUUCAGAACGUCGUGAGACAGUUUGGUCUCUAUCCUCUGCGCUCGUUGGAAUGCUGAGGAGGCCUGCCCAUAGUACGAGAGGACCUGGGUGGACGAACCUCCGGUAUGCCGGUUGUCGCGCCAGCGGCACGGCCGGUUGGCUGCGUUCGGAAGGGAUAACCGCUGAAAGCAUCUAAGCGGGAAGCCUGCUCCAAGAUAAGCAUUCCAUGAGGUUCUCCGGAACCUCUGAACCCCCCAUGUAGAACACGUGGUCGAUAGGCCGGACGUGGAAGCCCCGCGAGGGGCGGAGCCGACCGGUACUAACGGGGAAACAACGACACGCA
rnacentral:rRNA from 1 species